rnacentral:rRNA from 1 species
UACGGAGGGUGCGAGCGUUGUCCGGAAUCACUGGGCGUAAAGGGCGCGUAGGUGGCCCGUCAAGCGCGCGGUGAAAGCCCGGGGCUCAACCCCGGGAGGCGGGUGGAUACUGUCAAGCUCGAGUCCGGAAGAGGAGUGUGGAAUUCCUGGUGUAGCGGUGAAAUGCGCAGAUAUCAGGAGGAACACCAAUGGCGAAGGCAGCACUCUGGGACGUGACUGACGCUGAGACGCGAAAGCGUGGGGAGCAAACAGG